CUCGCGAUAUCUAGAUAGACAUGUACCGCACGUAGCUAGGGUGGAAACCGAAACCAGAUUAAGCUAGAUGAUUAUUUUGAUGAAUUAAUGUGUAAGAAGACGAAGAGGAAUUUACAAGAAAACGUCAAGGAAUUUAUACAUUUGCAAUUAUUAUUUUAGUGACCAGGUCUGGGGUGAAACAUUUAAACUUAAGGACCUCAACUCUAAGCAAUCAUGAUGGAGGGCUGUCAGAUGUCCUGUUCAUUUUAUGGGUGCAAGAGGACCUACAACAGUCCAGAAGCACUGAAUAACCAUCUUCAGGACCAUCAUAAUAAAAACACUGCCCAAUCUCUAACUGGGAAAGUUUUCCUGUGUUCUCAGAUUGGAUGUGAUGGGUCAUUCAGCAACAUGCAGCAGCUAAUGGAACAUAUGAGGCAUCAUUACAAGCCAAAUAAUUUUUUCUUGUGUGAGAGUUGUAGGGCCAAACUACGCUCGUACCGCACCCUUCUCAAACACCUGCAAACCUGUGCUAAAGUUGCAAAGAACAAGGCUGCAAAGAUAGAGACUGGAACAGCACCUGAUGCAGAUCCCACUGGUGAUCCACUCACCUCUAGUGACAUGGAGACAUCUGGAUCGUUCUUGGCCUCAAAUACUUUGGAAGAUAUGGAGUCUAUGCCCACUUUGCUCACAGAACCCCCAGCAAACAUACUAGGGACCCAGCAGUCCCCAGAAAACGAUGCACUCACAAACCCUGCUCCUUUGCUCCUUAAUCCUGCUUCAACCCAAAAUCCUCCCUCUGAAUCCGAAUUGCCCUACAAUUCCCUUCCACCAACUCUGUCUCCGGUUAAUCCAGCCUAUCUAUCAGAUUCGGGCCAUCAGCAGCAGCGUUCUCCUAGGUCUGGUCCUCCCAUUCUGUCCUCUUCACUAUUACUGCCAUCAUCUCCAGGAUCAAAUGCGGUCUGGAGGAAGAACCAAGACCCACCCAGGCCCCAAUUGCACAGAUGGAACUCUCCAAGCAGUCAGAGUUUAAAUAGAGAUGAAGUCCAGGUCAGUCCAUCAACUGUCGCAUUUUGUGGGAACACACCAGAGGCCGAUACACUUGCCUACAAUGUGGAUACUGUGCCCAAGACCGGGGGGAGAUGACGGCUCACAUUGAGGUCCAGCACAAGAACCCCGGUGGCAAAGCCAACAAUGAUCCUGAUACAGAGGUCGGCAACUCUUCAUUACUGGCUAAGGCUUCAGUGCACUCUGAGAAUUCAACUUAUACGCAGCUCUAACAUGAAAUGGGAUGUUAAAUUUACUUCCUGACAAAGGACGUUUGUUUUACAGAUUGCUUUUACUACAGAUAAAGACAUUCAGUGUUUAUAAUUUCACCGAAAACUGAGUGAUCCAAGCAUCGUGGUCUGGAACUAUCCAUGUACUGUAUCACUUUCAACAAAAAGAGCUCAAGUGCAUGCAUGCAUUCUUUCUCAAUUUUUCACUUUAUUCUCAAUCUCUCUAGUGUUUCAUUGAAUAAUUAAAAUAUUUUGUUAGUCUAAGUAGACUAAUUUAAUUUCCAAAAAUAUUUUUGCAGCAGACUAUAAACACUUUUCAGCUCAAGAGCAUUGCAAUGAAAAUGUAACGAAAAUCGAAGGAUGUUAUAGCAUUCUUGUUCUGAAAUCAAUUUCAUUUUUUGUAGUUUUUUUUUGCCACUCAUUAAUAAAUCAGUAAGGAACUA